AUACGUAGGCACCAAGCGUUGUUCGGAAUUACUGGGCGUAAAGCGAGUGUAGGCGGUUUGCCAAGUCCGUUGUGAAAUCUCCCGGCUUAACCGGGAGGGUGCGGCGGAAACUGGCAGGCUAGAGUGCGGAAGGGGAGAGCGGAAUUCCUGGUGUAGCGGUGAAAUGCGUAGAUAUCAGGAGGAACACCGGCGGUGAAGACGGCUCUCUGGACCGCUACUGACGCUGAGACUCGAAAGCGUGGGGAGCAAACAGGAGUAGAAACCCCGGUAGUCC
rnacentral:rRNA from 1 species